rnacentral:rRNA from 1 species
CGAUUAAGGCGUCGUAGGUGACCAUGCGGAAGGAUCAUUAAAAGUUAAUUGGUUAUACAUCCGGUAUAAAUCUAAUUAAACACCUCUGAGUACCUUACCUGUUGCUUCCGUGAGGCCUGACUCCAGCAGUGGUUCGCCGCCGCUGGAUACUUGCGGAAGGUAUACACUUAAACACUUUUGAAUCAAUGUCAUCUGUCUGAUAAUGUUUAUAACAAACGUUAAAACUUUCAACAACGGAUCUCUUGGUUCUCGCAUCGAUGAAGAACGCAGCGAAAUGCGAUAAGUAGUGUGAAUUGCAGAAUUCAGUGAAUCAUCGAAUCUUUGAACGCACAUUGCGCCUCCUGGUAUUCCGGGAGGCAUGCCUGUUCCAGCGUCAUUAAAACCUCCUCAAGCUCUUUUGCUUGAUAUUGCAAGAAGAGGCCGCUUGUCGUUCUCCCUUUCAAAAUGCAACGGCAGAUUCCCUCACGUGCACUGGAGUCUAUGAUUGGUGCGUCGCUUUCUCAUCGCACGACCCCGCCUCAAACCUUCAAUGUUUUCUCCUUGACCGCACCCGCCGAUAUGGACAUACGAUGAGAAUCACGGAACAAUCCCCCUGAGAUACUCUAUUAGGG